rnacentral:rRNA from 1 species
CGGGUGAGUAUAAUGUGGGAAUCUGCCUUUUGGUCUGGAAUAACACGAGGAAACUUGUGCUAAUACCGGAUAAGCCUUUACAGGGAAAGUUUUAAUGCCAAAAGAUGAGCCCGCACUUGAUUAGCUAGUUGGUAAGGUAAAAGCUUACCAAGGCAACGAUCAAUAGCUGUUCUUAGAGGAAGACCAGCCACAUUGGGACUGAGACACGGCCCAAACUCCUACGGGAGGCAGCAGUGGGGAAUCUUGCACAAUGGGGGAAACCCUGAUGCAGCGAUGCCGCGUGAGUGAAGAAGGCCUUUGGGUUGUAAAACUCUUUCGUCGGGGAAGAAAAUGACUGUACCCGAAUAAGAAGGUCCGGCUAACUUCGUGCCAGCAGCCGCGGUAAUACGAAGGGACCUAGCGUAGUUCGGAAUUACUGGGCUUAAAGAGUUCGUAGGUGGUUAAAAAAGUUGAUGGUGAAAUCCCAAGGCUCAACCUUGGAACUGCCAUCAAAACUUUUUAGCUAGAGUAUGAUAGAGGA